GACGAACGCUGGCGGCGUGCUUAACACAUGCAAGUCGAACGGAAAGGCCCUGCUUUUGUGGGGUGCUCGAGUGGCGAACGGGUGAGUAACACGUGAGUAACCUGCCCUUGACUUUGGGAUAACUUCAGGAAACUGGGGCUAAUACCGGAUAGGAGCUCCUGCUGCAUGGUGGGGGUUGGAAAGUUUCGGCGGUUGGGGAUGGACUCGCGGCUUAUCAGCUUGUUGGUGGGGUAGUGGCUUACCAAGGCUUUGACGGGUAGCCGGCCUGAGAGGGUGACCGGCCACAUUGGGACUGAGAUACGGGCCAGACUCCUACGGGAGGAAGCAGUGGGGAAUAUUGCAAAAUGGGCGGAAGCAUGAUGCAGCAACGCCGCGUGCGGGAUGACGGCCUUCGGGUUGUAAACCGCUUUCGCCUGUGACGAAGCGUGAGUGACGGUAAUGGGUAAAGAAGCACCGGCUAACUACGUG
rnacentral:rRNA from 1 species